rnacentral:rRNA from 1 species
AGUGAACGCUGGCGGUAGGCCUAACACAUGCAAGUCGAACGGCAGCACAGUAGGAGCUUGCUCUUACGGGUGGCGAGUGGCGGACGGGUGAGGAAUACAUCGGAAUCUACUUUUUCGUGGGGGAUAACGUAGGGAAACUUACGCUAAUACCGCAUACGACCUACGGGUGAAAGCAGGGGAUCUUCGGACCUUGCGCGAUUGAAUGAGCCGAUGUCGGAUUAGCUAGGUGGCGGGGUAAAGGACCACCAAGGCGACGAUCCGUAGCUGGUCUGAGAGGAUGAUCAGCCACACUGAAACUGAGACACGGUCCAGACUCCUACGGGAGGCAGCAGUGGGGAAUAUUGGACAAUGGGCGCAAGCCUGAUCCAGCCAUACCGCGUGGGUGAAGAAGGCCUUCGGGUUGUAAAGCCCUUUUGUUGGGAAAGAAAAGCAGCAGGUUAAUACCCCGCUGUUCUGACGGUACCCAAAGAAUAAGCACCGGCUAACUUCGUG